rnacentral:rRNA from 1 species
GACGAACGCUGGCGGCGUGCUUAACACAUGCAAGUCGAGCGGAAAGGCUCCUUCGGGGGUACUCGAGCGGCGAACGGGUGAGUAACACGUGAGCAAUCUGCCCUUCACUUGGGGAUAACGUCCAGAAAUGGGUGCUAAUACACGGUAUUCCUACUUUGACGCAUGUUGGGGUGGGGAAAGGUUUUUCUGGUGGGGGAUGUGCUCGCGGCCUAUCAGCUUGUUGGUGGGGUAAUGGCCUACCAAGGCUUUGACGGGUAGCCGGCCUGAGAGGGUGGCAGGCCACACUGGGACUGAGACACGGCCCGGACUCCUACGGGAGGCAGCAGUGGGGAAUAUUGGCCAAUGGCCGUAAGCCUGAUCCAGCAACGCCGCGUGAGGGAUGACGGCCUUCGGGUUGUAAACCUCUUUCACCAUUGACGAAGCUGCAUCUUUUUGGGUGUGGUGACGGUAGGUGGGGAAGAAGCACCGGCCAACUACGUGCCAGCCGCCGCAGUAACAC